UGGAGAAAAGCUCAUCUCCCGCGGACUGCUAUGAUAGAGCUACUGGACAACACUUUCCGUUUUCAGUGCUGACCUCUGCUUUUGGGACAGUUUAGUGACGGGUUUUUUUGGGGGGUUGGGGGGGUGUGAACUCCUUCACAAAGAAAAGCGUCGUUUAUGAGCGCUGUCCAGCCACUUCUUGUUGGUAGCUGCUGGCCUCUGAGGCUAGCUGGCUUAGCGGAACGGUGACCGAGUGGAGCCAGCUGGUCGGACGGAGAAACAGGGACGUUAGCGAACAAGCUAAUUAGCCAGGAACACUGGGCUUGGAUUAUUGCCUUUAAUCAAACAUAGAGAGCAGGUUGUGCGGGCGCAAUUCACCGCGGCGAAGAUGAAAAUAACCGUGGACUUUGAGGAAUGUCUGAAAGACUCCCCACGCUUCAGAGCAACCAUAGAGGAAGUGGAGGGGGAUGUGUGUGAGUUGGAAUCCAAGCUUGACAAACUGGUGAAAUUGUGUAUUGGGAUGAUAGAUGCUGGAAAAGUCUACAACGCAGCCAACAAGCAAUUUGUCAACGGGAUCCGGGAGCUUGCCCAGCAGUCUGCCAAAGAUGAAGUCAUUGAGUCCAGCCUCACAAAGUUUGCCGAGAGUCUGCAGGAGAUGAUCAACUAUCACACGAUAUUGUUCGAUCAGGCGCAGAGAUCAAUCAAGACUCAGCUGCAAACGUUUGUGAAAGAUGACCUGCGAAAGUUUAAAGAAGCCAAGAAACAGUUUGACAAAGUUAGUGAGGAAAAGGAGAAUGCUCUUAUCAAGAACGCUCAGGCUCCUCGCAACAAGCAGCAUGAAGUAGAGGAGGCCACCAACAUCCUGACUGCCACACGCAAAUGCUUCCGACACAUUGUCCUCGACUACGUCUUACAGAUAAAUGUUCUACAGUCUAAGAGAAGAUCAGAAAUCCUGAAAUCGAUGCUGUCCUUCAUGUACGCCCAUCUGACUUUCUUCCAUCAAGGUUAUGACCUCUUUAGUGAACUGCAACCUCUAAUGAAGCAGCUGGGUGGACAGUUGGACCAGCUGGUGGUCGAUGCUGCCAAGGAGAAGAGGGACAUGGAGCAGAAGCACUCCACCAUCCAACAAAAGGAUUUCUCAAAUGACGACACAAAGCUGGAGUAUAAUGUGGAUGCAGAUAAUGGCAUUGCAAUGGAGGGUUAUCUAUUCAAGAGGGCCAGUAACGCUUUCAAGACUUGGAACAGACGCUGGUUCUCCAUCCAAAACAAUCAGCUAGUUUACCAGAAGAAAUUUAAGGACAACCCCACAGUAGUGGUAGAAGACCUGAGGCUAUGUACAGUCAAGCACUGCGAGGACAUCGAGCGGCGCUUCUGCUUCGAAGUAGUUUCACCCACAAAGAGCUGCAUGAUGCAGGCCGACUCAGAGAAGCUGCGGCAGGCUUGGAUCAAAGCCGUCCAGAACAGCAUUGCCACCGCCUUCCGUGACAAGGGAGACAGCGGCGAGAAGCUGGACAGGAAGUCCUCCACGUCAACGGGGAGUCUGGACUCCGGAGGAGAACCUAAGGAAAGGUCGCUGAAAGGAGAGAGCGCUCUGCAGAAGGUGUUGGCCAUCCCUGGCAACGCCUGCUGCUGUGACUGUGGCCAGCCGGACCCGCGCUGGGCCAGCAUCAACCUGGGCAUCACUCUCUGCAUCCAGUGCUCUGGCAUCCACAGGAGCCUGGGGGUGCAUUUCUCCAAGGUUCGGUCUUUAACUUUAGACUCAUGGGAGCCAGAACUGCUGAAGUUGAUGUGUGAACUGGGAAACGGAGUGAUCAACCAGAUAUAUGAAGCUCGGCGAGAAGAACUAGGAGCCAGAAAACCGCAGCCGGGAGACCCCAGACAUGAGGUGGAGGCUUACAUCAAAGCCAAGUACGUGGAACGACGUUUCGUCCGCCGGCCAUCAGACGAGGAGCUUCGUAAUAAGGUUGUUUCUCUGAGCAAAGAGGAGAAGAGGCUGAGCAGCAGCUCGGACCACCUGCCGCCUAAAGCACCUCCUCCCACUCCCAAACUUCGGCCAGGCUCUCAUGCCUCUGGACAGACAGCUGCUGCCUGCGGCAAAGAGGCCCGCCGCGACUCUCUCUUCUGUCCUGAUGAGCUUGACUCGCUCUUCUCCUACUUUGACACCUCCUCCAAGCUCAGGAGCAUGAAAAGUGCGGACAGCGGCAUUCAGAACAGCACUGAUGGGAGCAGGGAGAUGCUGGCCACCACUCCAUCCACUAACAGCCUGGCAGAUGCAGAAGCUGCAGAGUCUCCCCCCAUGCCUGCCACGCUCCCGACUGCGUCACCCUGCAAGGAUGUGGUUUUCUUUGAGCCAAAGGAGUACAGCCCGGGUCUGCAGCUCUACUGGGCGUCCUUCAGCCGCAGCCUGCCGGACAUGGCCGAGGCUCUGGCCCACGGCGCCGAGGUCAACUGGGUCAACACCGAGGAGGACAAGAGGACGCCGCUCAUCAUGGCAGUGCAUGGGGGCUCACUGGUCACCUGUGAGUUUCUGCUCCAAAACGCAGUCAAUGUGAACCAGCUGGACGCUCAGGGCAGAGGGCCGCUGCACCACGCCACCAUGCUGGGACACACAGGCCAAGUUUGUUUGUUCUUGAAAAGAGGAGCAAAUCAAAACGCCGCCGACAUCGACGAGAAGACGCCGCUGAGCAUAGCAGUGGAGGCGGCAAACGCAGAUAUUGUCACAUUAUUGCGGUUGGCCAAGAUGAACGAGGAGAUGCGGGAGGCGGAGGGGCCCUACAACCCGUCAGGUCAAUAUAACUCCAACAGCCCAACCGAGAUGCAGUACAGGAAGUGCAUGCAGGAGUUCAUUAGCCUGCAGCUUGACGAUGAGUCUGAUUAGAGGUGUAAAAGCUCGGGCUUCAGAGUUGGGCUCAGUUAAAGCAGCAAAAGCAAGAAAAUGGAGUCUCUGAGCUUUGCCACAUUUUUUUUGAAGGCUCUCUGAAAGGAGAUCUGUGAUUAGAGUUAGCUUAGCCCAACUCUGUUAGCUGAGCUCCUGCUGGGAGCUGAACUGGCCUCUGUACCAAUUUCUCAUCAGGUGUUAGGCAGGAGAAACGUGACGCAAUAAAGCCAUCAAAUCUGAACUCUAAGCCAGAGUUUUGCUUCCAAAAGCGAGAGACUUUUCCUUUCUGUGACUGUUAUCAUGUGAGGUAGCAAAAAAUGUCUCUUUCUCAAUCUCUGUUUUUGUCAAAGGUUUCCUCUGUGUUGGAGGUGCUUCUCAAACUUACAGCCACUGUCCAGAAAUGAAAGUAUUUAUUGCUACAAUGCAAAGUAGCUGCCUGCUGAACUCAGUGACUUCAUCACAAGAUCUGGCAAUAAUCAAGACGUUUGAAUGAAGCUCGGUGAAGGGUAGCAUAGUGUGUGUCUGUAAACUAUAAACAUCCGUUUUUAGAAAUUAUGCACAUUCCAGUUGUUGGUUAUAUGCAACUACUGUACCUUCUUUCUUGUGACUGUCUGGUUUUAAGGUCUUAAUUAUGUUCAGGGCUUGUUUACUUGUUUUUAUGAUCUAAAUAUAUGAUCCGUCUUGCUGUUUCUACAUGCCCAGAGAAAAAGAAAUCUAUUUUAGAACAUUUUUGUUUUAUAAAGUAACUUUAGGAAGCAUGUGAGAGCUAUUUUCACUGUACAUGUUGUAAAUAAUUCAUGUGUAUAGUUUGUGAUUGACAGAAUGCAUCAGGAGUGACUGUAGCUGCAGGGUGCCAUGAGGAUGUUGUAUUCACACCUUUGGGUAUUUUUAUUUUUAUUUUAUUUGGUUGAAAGGUGUUUAUGAAGAGCCAGGGUCCUUGCUUGUUACUUACGCUCACAGGAAAUCUAAAAUUGUAAGACGAUCGUCUGGAAUGUUAGCGGAUUUCUCUUCAGAUAUACAAAACCCAUUUAGGGAUGACGCAUCUUCAAGUGCAGUAGCCUAGAAAAAGAUGGAUAUGUAACUGUGAAGCUUUUUUAAAUCCUCUCCUAGUCCUAGCUUCUCUGUGUGAGAAUCAUGUGGGAGCUUUAAAAUAGCAACUUACAUCAAAAUCUUCAGAAAGACUGUGGAAUGAGCUCAGUUUGGUUUUGCAGAUUGAAAUAUAGCCCAGUUCCAUCUCGUAUGUUUUCUUCACCCUGCAAAAAAAAAUCAUCAGAGUCCUGAAGCACUUUGAAUUAAUGGGAAGGGAAAGAGCGCCCCCUGCUGUACAACAUGAGACGUUUAAAAAGAAAAUUGUCAGUGAAAGAGCAAACUACUUCAUCACUAAUUUUUUUUUUUUUUUUUUUUUUUUACUUUAUGGAAACAUGUGAAGAUGCUGCUUGUGAUAACCACUGGAGGGCGCACUAAACAGUUGUUUUUUUUCCCUGAUUUUUUUUUUUUUCCCAUUUUUUUAUCACAUUUGGAACUGAUUGGCAAAAUAAUAAUAUACAUAGAGUGCUUUGAAAAAGUAUUCAUUCCUUUUCUCUUUUUACAUUUCUGUUACAAUAGCCUACCUUUAUUAAUUGGAUUUUUAUGUAACAGACCAAUGCAAAGUAGCACAUGAUUGUGAAGUGGAAGGGAAAAUACAUAUAUAAACUGUAGUAUUUAUUUGCAGAAAAUGAGAAAUGGUCAAAAUAAUGACAAAGACGCAUUGCUUUCAGACCUCAAAUAAUGCAAAGAAAACAAGUUCAUAUUCAUUUAGAAGUAACAAUACUAAUGUUUUAACUCUAGAACAGUUCAGAAAUCAAUACUUGGUGGAAAACCACGAGCUUUUCAAUGGAGUUCAGUGCAGUGGGCUCAUACUUUUGUCCAGUCUUCAUCUCUCUUGAGUCAAAACAACUUUUUCUAUAAUUACAGCUUUCAAAUCUUCUGGGUUGCGUCUCUACCAGCUUUGCACAUUUAAUGAAUAAAAUGUCUACCUGCUCUCCUCUAAAUAGUUCAGCCUCAAAGAGAUUGCACAGAGCACAGCAGUGAACUUUAAUUAAGUCUCAUCAAAUAUUUUAAAUCAACUCCAUCCUCAGUCUAUGUCAUGCUCUACUCUGUGUUGGUCUGUAUAAAACAUCCCAACAAAAUGCACUCAAGUUUGUCGUUUUGAAGUUCGAAGGGUGUGAAUACUUCAGCAAGGCAUCACACAUUUUUGUUCAAGUUUUUAACUUUUGUUGUGAAAAUGUGUGGGAGGUAAAUUAGCAGCAGAAUAAGCAUUUUGUGUUGCUGAUGGGUUUUGUUUUGACUUAUUGAUUAUGAGGAGACUGAUGGAUAAUUAGUGAGGAAGAUCCAGCCUCAUUGAUCCUCCAUGUUUUCAUGGAGCCGAGUUCAUCUUUGGGUUUUAAUGAGUCGGAAUAAAAAGCAGCAGAGUGGUUCUGAAUCUCAGAAAUGGCAUCGAAGAUAAAUACUCAAAAGUUCUGCAACAAUAGUUUUAGAAAACCUAAAAUGAAGAUUUACUUUGUCAUCAACUCAGAACCACUUUCCUGACACAAGCAGUUCUUCUUCUCAUCUCGUUCUCUUUCUGUUUUUGUAUUUUGCUUUUCAUUUCUUGCUCUCCACCCCAGAGUUUGUGCCUUCCUUGUGUUCUCUCUUGUUUCUUUGGGGUACUGAGGCCAGCACGACUGUAUUUUUGUACAUAAACUCCUGCACUUUAAUCACAAUACAGUUGUUGAGGAAAAACAAGUGUCUGUGGGCUUCUUUCUUUCCUCCUUAGUGGAGCCCUGCUGGCUCUUCCUGUUCUCCUUCUCUCUCUGUUGGCCGACUCUCUCAGGGGACGAAACCUACCAGGACAUCUUCCAGGACUUCACCCACAUGGCCUCCAACGACCCAGAAAAGCUGAACCGCUACCAGCAGUACGACCCUCAGAGUCAG